rnacentral:rRNA from 1 species
UACGUAGGGUGCAAGCGUUACUCGGAAUUACUGGGCGUAAAGCGUGCGCAGGCGGUUAUGUAAGACAGGUGUGAAAUCCCCGGGCUUAACCUGGGAACUGCAUUUGUGACUGCAUAGCUAGAGUACGGUAGAGGGGGAUGGAAUUCCGCGUGUAGCAGUGAAAUGCGUAGAUAUGCGGAGGAACACCGAUGGCGAAGGCAAUCCCCUGGACCUGUACUGACGCUCAUGCACGAAAGCAUGGGGAGCAAACAGG